UACGAAGGGGGCUAGCGUUGUUCGGAAUUACUGGGCGUAAAGCGCACGUAGGCGGAUUUGUAAGUCAGGGGUGAAAUCCCGGGGCUCAACCUCGGAACUGCCUUUGAUACUGCAAGUCUCGAGUCCGAUAGAGGUGAGUGGAAUUCCUAGUGUAGAGGUGAAAUUCGUAGAUAUUAGGAAGAACACCGAUGGCGAAGGCAGCUCGCUGGGAUAACACUGACGCUCAUGCACGAAAGCGUGGGGAGCAAACAGG
rnacentral:rRNA from 1 species